AUUAAUUCUAACAACUCAAGCCAUACUGGCGGAAAAAAUAAAGAAGCCAAAACCUGCCAUCCCUCAAGUUCCCGGGAUUACACAAUAAGAGGGGGGAAAAAACCUUGAGCAUGGAAAGGAACUGAAGAAACUGUUUUUGCAUUGGUUUGAAACAAAGACUGCAAGCUGGAGCCUGAAAGAACGUUUAUUUUUUUGAAGGAAGGCUUCUCAAUUCAUGGAUUUGCCCG
rnacentral:misc_RNA from 1 species